AAUAGAUACCCCGGUAGUCCACGCCCUAAACGAUGAAUACUCGCUGUUAGCGAUAUACAGUUAGCGGCUAAGCGAAAGCGUUAAGUAUUCCACCUGGGGAGUACGCCCGCAAGGGUGAAACUCAAAGGAAUUGACGGGGGCCCGCACAAGCGGAGGAGCAUGUGGUUUAAUUCGAUGAUACGCGAGGAACCUUACCCGGGCUUGAAAGUUAGUGAAUUAUCCAGAGAUGGAUAAGUGAGCAAUCACACGAAACUAGGUGCUGCAUGGCUGUCGUCAGCUCGUGCCGUGGGGUGUUGGGUUAAGUCCCGCAACGAGCGCAACCCCUAUGUUUAGUUGCCAGCAUGUAAAGGUGGGGACUCUAAACAGACUGCCUGUGCAAACAGAGAGGAAGGAGGGGACGACGUCAAGUCAUCAUGGCCCUUACGUCCGGGGCUACACACGUGCUACAAUGGACGGUACAGAGGGCAGCUAGCCGGUAACGGCGUGCCAAUCUCAAAAAGCCGUUCACAGUUCGGAUAGAGGUCUGCAACUCGA
rnacentral:rRNA from 1 species